GACGUAGGGCGCGAGCGUUGUCCGGAUUUAUUGGGCGUAAAGAGCUCGUAGGCGGCUCGUUGCGUCCAUCGUGAAAACUCAGGGCUUAACUCUGAGCUUGCGGUGGAUACGGGCGGGCUAGAGUUCGGUAGGGGAGUCUGGAAUUCCUGGUGUAGCGGUGAAAUGCGCAGAUAUCAGGAGGAACACCGAUGGCGAAGGCAGGACUCUGGGCCGAUACUGACGCUGAGGAGCGAAAGCGUGGGGAGCGAACAGG
rnacentral:rRNA from 1 species